rnacentral:lncRNA from 1 species
CAACAACAAAACAUGCACUUUAUCUAAUGGAACUUAAGGUUGGUCAAGAUAUUGUUGUUGAAAGGGUCAGCCAAGUGAUCCAGGAGGUUCUGGUAUGGCCCUACUCCCGUCACAAGCCCUUGGAUAAAGUAACCCACGAUUGCCAUCAUAGCCAAUCUCCCAUUCUUCACCUCUUUCAGCUUCAAAUCCUUCAAUGACUUCUCAUCUUUUCCGAGUCCAAGUGGGUUAAAGAGUGGUCCUCCUGGGUAUGCAGGCUCUCCAGACCCUCCAAGAUAUUUCUCGAAUCCCAAGAAAUACUGUCUUCCCAUGGAACCUGGGUUGGCCCAGUCUUGGAAUCUUCUGUGCUCCGCAAAUCCCAUGAGUGCCAUCUCGAACACAAACAAAGUGUAAGGGUCUGCCCAGUAGUUGUAUGUUCCUGCUGGUGGGAUCACACCAGUACUGAACCAAGGGAGGGCUGUUUCUGGAGGAAUCAGUCCAAGCUUCCCAAGUAUUUCAGGGGCAAUGGCUCCAAUUGCACCCAACAUGGCAUAACGGCCGUUGAUGACCUCACCAUAGGCUAGCCAUCUGGGCUCAAUAAACCCUCCUGGACCUUCAGGGUCUGAAAGUCCCAAUGGG